UGAAUAAUAAACAUUUAUCAUGAAAUAAGCAAAUAUAAAAUAACAACUUUAUUAUUGCCUCUAGGGCAUAUUUCCUUCAAAACCACAAUCUAGUAAAAAUCUAUGACAAUAUUGCAGUAAAAAACUAUAUAUCAAAAACAUACCACAACAAGGAGAAGGAAGAAUCCUAUGCCCAGCAUGGUAAGUCUCUACUUUCAGAUCAAACACAGAGUGGUCCAGAGUGAAGACCACACGAUCUCCAGCACAAAGAGCAUAGUCAUGGGUAAGUUCGAACCAGGCAGAACCAUAGAACUUGGAGUAAUGGGCUUCAUGCUUAAAAAUAACAGCAUAAGAUCUACUCUCAAAAGUCAGCAAAGCAGGCUCAAUCCUCUUGUAGUGCGACAUCUUGGCAACAUUCCUGUGCUCCUGAAUGUAAGCAGCUAGGAAAGCCCUCACAUUGCAGGGAAUGUAUUGGAUUGAACAAGAACAAAAUCAAUAGAAAAAAAUUCUAUAAAAGAGGUUGAAUAUAAGUGCACAGGCUUGAGUAUGAGUUCAAAAACCUAAUUCCUAAAACCUAAAAAGGUACAAUUAAAACUUGCAUUCUUAUCAUACUAAAAUCGCACACAUUGUACAACAGCAAAAACAUACAUACAUGCCUAUAUGAUACACUAGAUUAUAACUUACUGUAAGCACAUACAUUGAUAGGUACUAGGUCAUACUAAAGACCUAAAAUAAAAAAUGCACAAGCUUGAGUAUGAGUACAAAAACCUAAUUCCUAAAAUCAAAAAAGCUAUAAUUACAACUUGCAUUAUACUAAACUUGAAUACAUUUUACAAUAGCAAAAGAUUCAUACUAGCCUAUAUGAUACACUGGAUUACUACUUACUGCAAACGGAUACAUUGAUAGGUCAUACUAAAUACCUAAAAAUAAAAAUGCACAAGCUUCAGUAUGAGUUCAAAAACCUAAUUCCUAAAACCUAAAAAGGUACAAUUAAAACUUGCAUUCUUAUCAUACUAAAAUUGCACACAUUGUACAACAGCAAAAAGAUACAUACAAGCCUAUAUGAUACACUGGAUUAUAACUUACUGUAAGCUCAUACAUUGAUAGGUACUAGGUCAUACUAACUACCUAAAAUAAAAAAAUGCUCAAGCUUGAGUAUGAGUACAAAAACCUAAUUCCUAAAAUCAAAAAAGCUACAAUUACAACUUGCAUCCUCAUCAUACUAAACUUACAUACAUUUUACAAUAGCAAAAGAUUCAUACUAGCCUAUUAUGAUACACUGGAUUACUACUUACUGCAAACAGAUACAUUGAUAGGUCAUACUAAAUACCUAAAAAUAGAAAUGCACAAGCUUCACUAUGAGUACAAGAAACUAAUUCCUAAAAUCAAAAAGGUACAAUUAAAACUUGCAUCCUCAUCAUACUAAAAAUAUCACACAUUUUACAACAACAAAAAGAUUCAUACUAGCCUAUAUGAUACAAUGGAUUAUAACUUACUGUAAGCGCAUACAUUGAUAGGUACUAGGUCAUACUAAAGACCUAAAAUAAAAAUUGCACAAGCUUGAGUAUGAGUACGAAAACCUAAUUCCUAAAAUAAAAAAAGCUACAAUUACAACUUGCAUCCUCAUCAUACCAAACUUGCAUACAUUUCACAAUAGGAAAAAUAUUCAUACUAGCCUAUAUGAUACACUAGAUUACUACUUACUGCAAGUAGAUAUAUUGAUAGGUCAUACUAAAUACCUACAAAAAAUGCACAAGCUUCACUAUGAGUACAAGAAACUAAUUCCUAAAAUCAAAAAAAGGUACAACUAAAACUUGGAUCCUCGUCAUACUAAAAAUUGCACACAUUUUACAACAGCAAAAAGACUCAAACUAGCCUAUAUGAUAGACUGGAUUAUAUCAAAAAGUUCGAUGUUCAUGAUAAUAAACUUGCACACACUACGCAACAGGAAGAUUUAUAGAAGCCUCCAUCACAAUACAAGUGCAACUAAAAGUUGCAUACUCAUAAUUCUAAACUUACACACUAAUUACACCAGCAAAAAUUCAUAUUAGCAUUGAUGAUAUCGUGGUCUAAAACUCACUGGAAUAUAAGUAGUAAAUACCUAAAUAAAAAUGCAUAAACAUUCAUAUAAGUAAAAAAAACUAUACCAAAAACUUGCAUACGCAUAAUUCUAGAACUUGCACACAUUCUACAACAACAAAAGAUCCAUAUUAGCCUACAAGAUAUCCUGGUCUAGUAUUUAUUGUAAGCAGGUAUAUUGAUAUGCACAAAAAGAAAUUCAGGCUACAUGAAAUACAAAAUAUAUAACUCAAUUCACAGUUUCAGUUAUACUAGUGUGUAUUCAUCAAUAUCAACUAGAAUCUUAGCCUUGAUGAUAGUAUAUAUACAUUCACAUGAACAAAACAUAAAUCAUCAUAUAUAUGUUUCUUCCACAUUCAUCAUUCUAAACUUGCAUACAUUUUACAAUAGCAAAAGAUUCAUACUAGCCUAUAUCAUACACUGGAUUACAACUUACUGCAAGCAGAUACAUUGAUAGUUACUAGGACAUACUAAAUACCUAAAAAUAAAAAUGCACAAGCUUCAGUAUGAGUACACGAAACUAAUUCCUUAAAAUCAGGAAAAAGUUACAAUUACAGACUUGCAUCCUCAUCAUACUAAAAAUGCACACAUUUUACAACAACAAAAGACUCAAACUACACUGGAAGAUCUAUAGAAGCCUCCAUCAUAAUAUAAGUACAAAUUUAAAAGUUGCAUACUCGUAAUUAUAAACUUACACACUAAUUACACCAGCAAAAAAUUUAUAUUAGUCUUGAUGAUAAUAUAUAUAUAUAUAUAUAUAUAUAUAUAUAUAUAUAUAUAUAUAUAUAUUCACAUGAACAAAACAUAAAUCAAGCUAUGAAUGUUUCUUGUGUAUUCAUCAUACUAAACUUGCAUACAUUUUACAAUAGCAAAAGAUUCAUUGACAUGUCCAAAAGGAAAUCAACCUACACAAAAUACAAUGUUCCUAAUUAUAAAUAUACUAACUUCGAUUCAUAAUAUAACUAAACUUGCACACAUUUCUAAUACCGAAGCUUGCACACAUUUUGCAUACACACAGCCAUACUUGCACAGGUUUCAUGAGAGCACACAUACUGAUACGUAUAGAAUUAAAGAGUUCCUAUAAAAGAAAAGAUAAAUACAACUCACCAUCCUCCUGAAGCAAUCCUCAUCAAGGACAACAUCAAAUACUUCACAGACGUCAUGAUCUGGCACCAAUGGUACACAAGGGGCACCCGGACAACGACAAACAGGGCAAACCAUAGCUACAAAAAAUCUAAGAAACAUAGAGUAAAUAAAAAAAGACAAAUUUACAUAAUUAAACAAAAGGGAAUAAGCAGGAAGGACAACCUACAUUAACUAUAAAAAAAACACUAUCAAUCUAAUUAUAUCUCGCAAAAAUAGAAUUCACAAAUCUAAAUUGGAACCUUAAAAAGAAAUUACAUAAAAAACCUCCCUAAUCUUUAUUAAAUCUGAACAAAUUGCAUCUCUUUAAAGCUAAACUUCCAGAAAUUCCUCAAGAAGCAAAGUGUAACAAAAAAUCAUUGACACAAAAAGAGUGGACAUUAUAAAAAUCAAAAUAUAACAUUAUGAGACCACCAUCCUGCUACUGCAUGGGUUCAGGACACCAUCCUGCUACUAAAAAAUAAUCAAGAAAGGCCUACAAAAAGCACACAACCUAGAAUCUGCAUCACAAAAAACAAUAAACACUAAAAAGAAUGCAUCUUUACAGACAUACAAGACACACUAAAUUACCCAGUUCAAACCCUAAUAAACCAAAACCUAAAACCAAGCCGUAAAACCAAAUCACACUGCACAUCUAGAAACCCUAAACAUACUACACACACUACCACCAAACAGUAAGAUUCAAACAAAGACAAAAAAUACGUGAGAAAGAGGAGAUGCACCAACGACAAUCCGUCAGCAAGGAAAUCCCCCGACUGGUAAAUCCUGCAAACAACAUAGAUAAACACAGAGAAGCACAUUAGUAAGCAGAUCUAGCAAGAAAACAAAAAAGCUCAGGAAGAACUAUGAGCAGAGGAAGCAGAAGUAUCGGAUCUAGCAAGAAACUACACGGACCCUAUCUCGACGCAUGAAGCGAAGAACACAAAGAGCAAGAUAAACUAAGGCAGAGAGGGUAACCACGACAAGAAUACCUGAAAAAAAAUAUGAGGUGCAGCAAAGGCAAAUCCUACAGCAACCAAUCCCCCGAUUGGAAAGUCCUGCAAACACCAUAGAUAACCAUAGAGAAGCACCCAGGUGAGCAGAUCUAGCAAAGAAACAGAUAGCACAAGAAGAUGUAUGAUCGGAGGAAGCAUAAGGAGGAGAUCUAGCAGCAAAAUCCACGAACCCUAGCUCGGGACGGGAAGAGGAGAAGACAUAGACUGAAGUAGAGCGGGGGGGAGGGGGGGCACUGAACAACCACGAGGGGGAGAUGAUAAGACGAGAAGAG
rnacentral:lncRNA from 1 species